rnacentral:lncRNA from 1 species
AGAUUCCUGGGCGCUCUAGAGGGGGUGGGUUGGCGGCCUGGAGGGUCUCCUCAAGUGGCGGCACUGCCAGGGGCUCGGAGGAAGGGGCUGCAGUCUCCCGGUGGCAGCGUCCUUGUCGUCGAGACUGCGGGCGGUUCCCUUGCGCGCCCUGAACCUCAGUUUCCAUAUCUGUUAAUGGGGGACAUUAACCCUCAAGGUUGUAACUCAUUCAAGACCAUUCAUCCAGGCAUAAUAAAUGCAUAAACGCUGCACGUUGAGUCCUCCCAACUGCCCCCUUAACUAGGCGCUCGGGUGAUGGAGUGGUGGCAGGUGCCUGCUUUCAUGGAGCUUGCCAUGAGAGGCAUACAGUGGACAAAAUUACCAUGAGAGGCAUACAGUGGACAAAAUUGCACGAAGAAUUGUUUAAUCACUUCUUUGGCAAAUGUUAGCAAGCGGCGUAAAAGAGGGAACCUGAUACCUUCAGGGUGGAAGUGACAGUUGAGCAGCCUAGGGUUAACCUGGGGAACCGGUGGGGAGGAUUCCAGACAGC